rnacentral:rRNA from 1 species
AUUGAACGCUUGCGGCAUGCCUUACACAUGCAAGUCGAACGGCAGCACGGGUGCUUGCACCUGGUGGCGAGUGGCGAACGGGUGAGUAAUACAUCGGAACGUACCUUAUCGAGGGGGAUAACGCAGCGAAAGCUGUGCUAAUACCGCAUACGCCCUGAGGGGGAAAGCGGGGGAUCGCAAGACCUCGCGCGAUUAGAGCGGCCGAUGCCUGAUUAGCUUGUUGGUGGGGUAAAAGCCCACCAAGGCGACGAUCAGUAGCUGGUCUGAGAGGACGAUCAGCCACACUGGGACUGAGACACGGCCCAGACUCCUACGGGAGGCAGCAGUGGGGAAUUUUGGACAAUGGGGGCAACCCUGAUCCAGCAAUGCCGCGUGAGUGAAGAAGGCCUUCGGGUUGUAAAGCUCUUUUGUCAGGGAAGAAACACCGGCUCUAACACAGUCUGGGAAUGACGGUACCUGAAGAAUAAGCACCGGCUAACUACGUGCCAGCCGCCGCCGUAA